AGACGUAAGCCUUUAGAAUUCAAAGUUAGAGAUAAAGUAAUGUUGAAGGUCUCUCCAUGGAAAGGUGUAAUUCGAUUCGGUAAACGAGGCAAACUAAACCCACGGUAUAUAGGACCUUUUGAAAUUCUAGCUAGAAUUGGUUCUGUCGCAUAGCAACUCAGGUUGCCUCAAUAGCUAAGUAAUGUACACGAUGUUUUUCAUGUAUCAAAUCUCAAAAUAUGUCUAUCCGAUGACACUCUUGUGGUACCUCUCCAUGAGAUACAAGUCAAUACCAAACUCAAUUUUGUAGAAGAACCCGUCGAGAUCAUGGAUCGAGAAGUCAAAGAUUAAAGCAAAGUCGUAUUCCCAUAGUGAAAGUUCGAUGGAACUCUUUGCAAGGACCUGAAUUUACUUGGGAACGUGAAGAUCAGAUGAAAGAAAAAUACCCCCAUCUGUUUGACAAAAACCUAACGACAAGAUCAAUUUCGGGACAAAAAUUUUCUAACGGGGGGAGAAUGUAACACUAGCCAAAAUAGGUCAAAAACAAUCACAUGUGAUUAUGCCAAUCAUGUAAUGUGAUUAUGUUAACCUAGUAAUGUGGUAAGAAUGUUAUGUAGUUCAUGAUAAAUUCUAAUACAAAAAUGAACUUUCUUUAUGAUACAACUCAAAGUAUACGUCCAUACGUUUCCAAAAAUAUAGAGAACGUCUGAAUCUGAUUUCGCAUGAAGAAGUUAUGAUAACCGAACACUAUAAAUCUCUAUAAUACGAGAAAUUUAAAAUAGAAUUAGAAUUAGCUAUUUAAGUCUAAAAGAGAGUUGUAGUACUCAUAAAUACCUACGCGUUCAUAUAAAGAACGUCAAAAACGGAGUUCGUACACAAAAGUUAUGGCCUUCCGAAGAUUUAGAUUUGAAAAACCCUAAACUAGCUAAUUCACGACGUGAGUUUUAUGACACUCACGACGUGAGGAGUCAUUCUGUCAUAAUUCUGAAUCUAGAAUCUGCGAGAGGAUAGGAUCCAACAUUCACGACGCGAGUUUUAUGACACUCACGACGUGAGGAGUCAUUCUGUCAUAAUUCGGAAUCUAGAAGCUGCGAGAGGAUAGGAUCCAAAUUUCACGGCGUGAGUUUUAUGACACUCACGAUGUGAGGAGUCAUUCUGUCAUAAUUCACUUAGGUUUCUGGUAGAUAAGUUACAACUAGUGGUUAUGUAAAUAGAGAAAAUCAAACUAGUUAAGGCGAAAAGAGGAAAGUUUAUAGCAAGGAUGUAGAAAACCUUGCAAAUUUUGCAAUGUUUAUAGAAACUUUUCUCUUAUAAACCUAAAUAAACUGAUGUAACCACUGGUAAUAAUAUGAAGCAUACGUUAUAGUAAUCAUUAUGUUGUCUAUUAUGUUUUACGCUGUGAAUAAUAACUAGAGUAUUUAGUACUCGUAUAUUAAAUGAUCAACAAAACUCAUAAAAAUUCUUAUUAUUUAUAAUAGAAACUAAAACAAAAUGCCUAGAAGGAGUAAUUGGCUAAACCCUAACCGACCAUCAGCACCACAACAACAACAACCACAACCACCAUCAGAAAUAAACCCCUCAGUAAGUAUAGUGCCACUUGAAGAAAUCAUAACUCAAAGAAUUGUUGUGGCUCUAUCUAAUGUCACAAGAGAUGGAGUUAGAAAUGAAGGCCAUGUAGGGAUCGCUAGAACAUGUACCUACAAAGAUUUUAUGAAUUGUAGGCCAAAAAUCUUUCAUGGAAAUGAAGGGGUAAUGAAUUUGACAAGGUGGAUAGAAAAGUCAGAAUCCGUCUUUCAAAUAAGUUUUUGUCCAGAUGAUUGUAAAGUAUGAUUUGCAGCAUGUACUUUCGCUGACGCAGCACUUACAUGGUGGAAUAUCCAUGUGAAUACAAUAGGAAUUGAUACUGCAAAUUCCAUGAAAUGGGAGGAGCUAAAAAUGAUGCUAGUAGAGGAGUAUUGUCCUAGGGAGGAAAUACAUAAGCUGGAACAAGAAUUGUGGACCCUAACCAUGAAGGGUUCAGAGAUAAAAGCUUAUACGACUAGGUUCAAUGACCUUGCAGUAAUGUGUCCAACACUUGUAACUCCUUAAUAUAAGAAGAUUGAGCGAUAUAUCUGGGGUUUAGCACCGCAAAUCAAAGGCAUGGUGAUCGCAUCAAAGCCUACGACUUAUGACAGCACCAACAGGAUAGCUCAUCAGCUAACCCUCACAGAGAUCCAAGGAACAGAAAGUGGUCUCAAAGGCUGAGUCUCCCAAAGCUAGAACAAACAAGCGCAAGUUUAAUACGAAGAAUCCCAAACAAUCAUCUGAGAAAAGACAAGAAGUGGCAACUAACUACGCAACGACAACAACAGUACCUACUCAACCAAAGUCUGCAUGGUGCAACCACUGCAACCAUCAUCAACCAGGUGACUGUUUUGUUUUCACUAAAUGCAAAAAGAAGGGGCACACUGCCAGUUACUGCAGGAGCACAACACCUGCAACAGUCAAUCAACAAACAAAUACUGGAAUAGGUCGUGGUGAAGAAAGAAAGUGUUAUGAGUGUGGAGAAGUUGGACAUAUCAAGAAAGAAUGUCCAAAGUUAAGGAGUCAAGGAGGCAUAGGACGUGGCAGGGCGUUUGUGAUCGGAAGCAGAGAGGCUAUCCAACACCCUUCAGUUGUAUCUAGUACUUUUCUCAUUUUAUACGCUAGCAUACUCUUCAACUCUGGAGCAGAUCGAAGUUUUAUAACUCCGACAUUUAGAAAAUUGUUAAGUCAUAAGUCUAGCAUAAUAAAAGAAAUCUAUGAAGUAGAAAUCGCUAACGGUUAAACUGAGAAAACACAUGAAAUCCUAGAAAACUGUCUGUUAACUCUUAAUAACUACCUUUUUCAUGUCAACCUCAUGCCAAUGCCUAUCGGUAGUUUUGAUGUCAUAAUUGGCAUGGAUUGGUUAUCUUCACAUUACGCCGAAAUUCUAUGUCAUGAGAAAGCCAUACGACUACCCUUACCAAAUGGCAAAGCCCUGAUUAUCUAUGGUGAUAAGUCUGGGAAAAACCUCAAAGUCAUUUCUUGUACCAAGACACAAAAAUAUCUACAUAAGAAAUGUAGCGCAUUCUUGGCCCACAUUGUAGAUAAGAGAAGAAAGAUAAAAGAAAUCAAGGACAUACCUUAAGUAUGUGAUUUCCCUUAUGUAUUUCCUGAAGAUCUACCUGGAAUACCUUCCGUCCGACAAGUGGAGUUUCGAAUCGACUUAAUUCCAGGAGCAGCACCAGUAGCGAAAUCUCCUUAUCGGUUGGCUCCAACCGAAAUGCAAGAAUUAUCUAGUCAACUAGAAGAACUUAUUGAAAAAGGCUUUAUCCGACCAAUUUUUUCUCCUUGGGGAGCACCAAUCUUGUUUGUCAAGAAGAAGGACAGAUCCUUUCGAAUGUGUAUUGAUUAUCGGGAGCUGAACAAGCUAACGAUCAAAAAUCGUUAUCCGCUUCCAAGAAUUGAUGAUUUAUUCAAUCAACUGCAAGGAUCUAGCUACUACUCAGAGCACAAGAAGACGACAUUCCAAAAACAGCAUUUAGAACUCUUUAUGGUCUUUAUGAGUUCUUAGUUAUGUCUUUUGGAUUGACUAACGCCCCAGCAGUGUUUAUGGAUCUCAUGAAUCGUGUUUGCAAACCAUACUUGGAUAAAUUCGUGAUCGUAUUUAUCGAUGAUAUAUUGAUAUAUUCACGAACCAAGGAAGAACAUGGUCAACACCUGCAAAUAAUCUUGGAACUACUAAGAAAAGAAAAGUUGUAUGCUAAAUUCUCCAAAUGUGAGUUUUAGAUUAGAGAAGUACAAUUUUUAGGUCAUGUAGUUAGCAAUGAAGGAAUUCAUGUUGACCCAUCCAAUGUUGAAGCAAUCAGGAAUUGGGAAGCACCAAAGACGCCAACAGAGGUGCAUCAAUUCCUAGGACUUUCUGGCUAAUACCGCAAAUUCAUAGAAAUUUUCUCCAAAAUAGUCAAGCCGCUUACAACACUAACCCAGAAGGAUACGAAGUUCAACUAUGAAGACAAACAAGAAGUAGCUUUUCAGAAACUAAAGCAAAUGUUGUGUAGUGCACCAAUCCUAUCCCUUCCAGAGGGGACACAAGAUUUCGUUGUAUACUGUGGCACAUCAAAUCAAGGAUUCGGAUGUGUGUUGAUGCAAAGAGGAAAAGGUAUCGCCUAUGCAUCACGACAACUUAAGGUGCAUGAGAAUAAUUACACCACCCAUGAUCUUGAAUUGGGAGCUAUAGUUUUUGCACUAAAAAUCUGGAGACAUUACCUAUAUGGUACUAAGUGUACUAUUUUUACCGACCACAAGAGUCUUCAACACAUCUUCGACCAAAAAGAUCUUAAUAUGAGAUAACGAAGAUGGGUCGAAUUGUUGAAUGAUUACGAAUGUGAGAUUCGUUAUCAUCCCAGAAAGGCAAACGUGGUAGCAGAUGCCUUAAGCUGGAAAGAAUAUAUUAAACCCCAUCGGGUACGAGCAUUAACUAUAACUAUCCAUUCUAACUUUACCUCACAAAUUAGAGAAGCUCAGCUUGAGGCUCUAAAAGAAGAAAACAUCAAGAACGAAGCUUUGCGAGGAAUGGAAAAGCAACUUAUACAAAAAGAUGACGGAACGCGACACUUUAUGAACCGAAUUUGGACGCCUAAGUUUGGUGGAAUCAGGGACUUGGUCUUAGAAGAAGCCCACAAGUCCAGAUAUUCCGUGCAUCCAGGCUCUUACAAAAUGUACUUGGAUUUAAAAGUACAUUAUUGGUGGCAAAACAUGAAGGCAGAAAUUUCUACUUAUGUGAGCAAAUGUUUGACGUGUUCUAGAGUGAAGGCAGAACAUCAAAAGCCUUCAGGUUUACUUCAACAACUAGAAAUACCAGAAUGGAAAUGGGAGCAGAUUUCAAUGGACUUCAUCAAUAAGUUACCCAAAACUCCUAGUGGGUUCGACACUAUUUGGGUAAUAGUCGAUAAAUUGACUAAGUCUGCCCAUUUCUUACCAAUUAAGGAAAUUGUUAGAUUGAGGGAGUUCCAAGUUCUAUUAUUUCUGACCGAGAUAGUAGAUUCACUUCACGAUUUUGGCAAUCUCUACAAAAAUCCUUAGGAACACGUCUAGACAUGAGUACAACUUACCAUCCACAGACUGAUGGUCAGAGUGAGAGAACCAUUCAAACUUUAGAAGAUAUGCUCCGAGCCUGUGUAAUAGACUUUGGAAAUGCAUGGGAUACUCAUCUACCGUUAAUUAAGUUUUCCUACACCAAUAGUCAUCACACCAGCAUCAAGGCUGCACCGUUUGAGGCUCUUUAUGGACGAAAAUGUCGUUCCCCAGUAUGUUGGGCAGAAGUUGGAGAUACGCAGAUGGCCAGAGAACAUACAGGCGAUACCUUACGUACUGGACCAGAAAUAUUCCAUGAGACAACUGAAAAGAUCGAUUAAAGGCUGCACGUGAUCGUCAAAAGAGCUAUGCUGAUGUAAGACGUAAGACUUUAGAAUUCAAAGUUAGAGAUAAAGUAAUGUUGAAGGUCUCUCCAUGGAAAGGUGUAAUUCGAUUCGAUAAGAGAGGCAAACUAAACCCACGGUAUAUAGGACCUUUUGAAAUUCUAGCUAGAAUUGGUUCUGUCGCAUACCAACUCAGGUUGCCUCAAGAGCUGAGUAAUGUACACGAUGUUUUUCAUGUAUCAAAUCUCAAAAUAUGUCUAUCCGAUGACACUCUUGUGGUACCUCUCCACGAGAUACAAGUCAAUACCAAACUCAAUUUUGUAGAAGAACCUAUCGAGAUCAUGGAUCGAGAAGUCAAAAGAUUAAAGCAAAGUCGUAUUCCCAUAGUGAAAGUUCGAUGGAACUCUUUGCAAGGACCUGGAUUUUCUUGGGAAUGUGAAGAUCAGAUGAAAGAAAAAUACCCCCACCUGUUUG
rnacentral:lncRNA from 1 species